GUUCAUAGUAUCCCAACGGCAUUCAAAUUUCAACAUUCAGUUUUGAAUUUGCCCUAUCUCAUUUCGCCCACUUUUCUUUUGAUUCAUCUCUCUCAAUUUUUCCAUAAAGUGUUGGUGCUUGAAUGAAGAAAUUGAGCAUGUCCGAGAGCUCUUAAUUUGAGGAGAAUUUGUCUCCUCCCAAACUUCUUGCAUGCAGUCGAAGUUUGGAAUGGGAAAACUUGAUUUUGCUGAGAUUCCGAUUGUAGAUGACGACCCGCAAUUUCCAUCAUCCUCCUCUCCAAAUCUUGAAUCUUGCUAUGAAGAUGCCUAGUUACGAUGAUCGGAUGGGAAGUAGCACUCGCCUCUAUGUGGAAAACCUGUCUUCACGGAACAGUUCACAUGAUCUGGAGCGUGAGUUAAGUAAAUAUGGGAGGUAAAAAAAAUUUAAAUUCUUGGCACAUCAUGUAUUUCUGUGUCUCACACUGUCAUUUUCUUUCUUACUGCUUUUGAUAUAGGCAGUUGCCAUUGAGCAACUGAAAUUGCGGAAAUUCUGUGAAAAAUUAUUUAUGUUACCAACAUGUAGUAUUGUUUGUUCAUUUCCUACAGAACCUUGCAUGAUAUUUUUCCUUUAUAUGUUGUCUUAUGGGAACUUUGUUCCAUCUACCUUAAAGUUCAAUGCAAUCCACCCACUGUAAGGCAUUUUCUGCUAGAUUAAAUUGAUCCUUCCUAUCCAAAAAUUGUUGCGCUUGUCUUACCAUGGCUGAGUCAAUUCUUGACUGCUAACUUCUAUAUAAUCUUUGUAUGCAAAUUUGAUAAUUUUCGUACACGCAUCUUAGCUAAUUAAAGUAUAUAAAUUCUUGAUUCAUGGUUGUUGGUGAUUGCAAUUGAUUUUCCUGUCAGUUGUAAGUAAUUGAAUUCUAGAAGCACAAAUAUUCUCGAAGUUGUUUGUUUAAGCCUCUUUAAGUUCUACUUGUUUGUCUACUGCUUCCUUUCUUCCUCCCGUCUAUUGUAGAAUAAGUUCUAGAAAUGUGUUACACAUUAUCCUAAAAUACUUGUAAAUUUAUAAAUUCUAUAGAUUUUAGCCCCCUUACAUCUAUUUUUUUUAGGCAAGAAAAGUUAUUUAGUCAAAUGAUCAAUUAACAAAGGUGGCAUUUUAUAUUAAAAGUAACUUUAGUUUCAUGGGUGUCAACUGGGACUUUGGAUCAAAGCCUUAUACAACUAACCCUUCACAACAACUAGAAGUACUCACAAUUACAAUUACAACAUAGUUUAGUAACACAAAAUGUAAAGAUGUGAUAAAACAAUUAUCCAACUGUAUAUUAAAAGAUUGCUUAGUUGCUGCCGCUGUUGACAUCAAAUUUUGGUCUGAUAGUUUUAAAAUUAAUAUUUCUUGAGUGUUUUAUUUAAUUCAAAAUACAUGUUUUGUCAUUUUAAUGCAAUUUGUAGAUAAUCGUCCUUUUCUCAAAUUAUUAGGAUUUUUAUUGGUUGUUAUGUUUAUAUUAUUUUGUCACAGCCAGACUUUCAAAUAUAUGUUCAUUUUUUAUAAAAUCAUUAUUUCUGUUAAAUUGCAUUUUUUACAUGUCAUUGAUUACUUUCACUAAAUUUUUCAUAUUCAUUUUACCUGUUACAUUUUUAAUAUUCAUUUUGAUAUUCUACGCAAUUCAAAAAUUUAUUCAAAUUCGAAUACAAUUUGCAUACACAUCUAUUUUAUCAAUGUAACAAUUUUUUAGGCCACGAUCUCAAGCCCAUCACUUAGACCCAUUUUUUUAACAACUCCUAUUUAAAGAAAGAUUUGCUCAUUAGGUUAAAGGGGUGUAAAAAAUUAUGUAUUUUCAGGUUUUUUUUAUUUAUCAUCUGGUCCACCACCACCAGAAAAUUAGCUAGAACAAUCCAUAUUUUCCGGUGAAGCUCCGGCCAACCAGAAUCACUUCCACCGUCAUCCCUCUUCCCCAUUUUUCUAGUGAAGCCUCACCAUGUGUUUCUUCAAACAACAUCUAGUUAUCACUACCUGUUUCUCCUCCCUUAUUCCCAUUUUUUUAAAAAAAAGAUAGAAUUGGAUAUUAAGUUUAUAUAUUUUAUAUGUUAAAAUUGGUCAAUGAGAAAAUCUCUCCAUCGAUUUUGGUGGCCUUCCCAUUUUACAAAGACAAAAUUUUGGUUUAACUUUAUAUAUUUUAUAUGUUAAAUUUGGUCGAUGAAGAAAUUAUCAUCGAUUUUCAAGGCCUCUCAUGUUAAUAAGACCGGUUUUGGAUUUGUAAGUUAUUAUUUGAUUUAUUCAUUUUUAUUCAUAUUUAUAUAGUAUUAACACUUUUACUA